rnacentral:rRNA from 1 species
GUAGCUCAGCUCCACCGGAAAAAGAGGAGUGGCGAACGGGUGAGUAACACGUGGGUAACCUGCCCAUCAGAAGGGGAUAACACUUGGAAACAGGUGCUAAUACCGUAUAACAAUCAAAACCGCAUGGUUUUGAUUUGAAAGGCGCUUUCGGGUGUCGCUGAUGGAUGGACCCGCGGUGCAUUAGCUAGUUGGUGAGGUAACGGCUCACCAAGGCCACGAUGCAUAGCCGACCUGAGAGGGUGAUCGGCCACAUUGGGACUGAGACACGGCCCAAACUCCUACGGGAGGCAGCAGUAGGGAAUCUUCGGCAAUGGACGAAAGUCUGACCGAGCAACGCCGCGUGAGUGAAGAAGGUUUUCGGAUCGUAAAACUCUGUUGUUAGAGAAGAACAAGGAUGAGAGUAACUGUUCAUCCCUUGACGGUAUCUAACCAGAAAGCCACGGCUAACUACGUGCCAGCAGCCGCGGUAAUACGUAGGUGGCAAGCGUUGUCCGGAUUUAUUGGGCGUAAAGCGAGCGCAGGCGGUUUCUUAAGUCUGAUGUGAAAGCCCCCGGCUCAACCGGGGAGGGUCAUUGGAAACUGGGAGACUUGAGUGCAGAAGAGGAGAGUGGAAUUCCAUGUGUAGCGGUGAAAUGCGUAGAUAUAUGGAGGAACACCAGUGGCGAAGGCGGCUCUCUGGUCUGUAACUGACGCUGAGGCUCGAAAGCGUGGGGAGCAAACAGGAUUAGAUACCCUGGUAGUCCACGCCGUAAACGAUGAGUGCUAAGUGUUGGAGGGUUUCCGCCCUUCAGUGCUGCAGCUAACGCAUUAAGCACUCCGCCUGGGGAGUACGACCGCAAGGUUGAAACUCAAAGGAAUUGACGGGGGCCCGCACAAGCGGUGGAGCAUGUGGUUUAAUUCGAAGCAACGCGAAGAACCUUACCAGGUCUUGACAUCCUUUGACCACUCUAGAGAUAGAG